rnacentral:miRNA from 1 species
CUUAACUGCAGGCCACUACUGUUGCUAAUAUGCAACUCUGUUGUGUAAAAGCUGGAAUUGCACUUUAGCAAUGGUGAUGGACUGUAAGACAUAC